rnacentral:rRNA from 1 species
UACGAAGGGGGCUAGCGUUGCUCGGAAUCACUGGGCGUAAAGCGCACGUAGGCGGCUUGUUAAGUCAGGGGUGAAAUCCUGGAGCUCAACUCCAGAACUGCCUUUGAUACUGGCGAACUUGAGUGCGUGAGGGGUAGGGGGAACGAGCAGUGUAGCGGUGAAAUGCGUAGAUAUUGCUCGGAAGGCCAGAGCCGAAGGGGCCCUACUGGUGCGCAACUGACACUGAGGCACGAAAGCGUGGGGAGCAAACAGG